AUGGUCGGGAAUGGUC
rnacentral:tRNA from 1 species